CUUUACUGUAGCCUGGUAUGGGGUUCGGGCUUUGACUGCGCAGGAUAGGUGGGAGGCUAAGAGGCUAUCCUUGUGGGGAUAGUGGAGCCAACGGUGAGAUACCACUCUGUCAAGGCUAGAAUUCUAACUUGUGCCCGUGAUCCGGGACGAGAACAGUAUCAGGUGGGCAGUUUGACUGGGGCGGUCGCCUCCUAAAUGGUAACGGAGGCGCGCAAAGGUUCUCUCAGGCUGGUUGGAAAUCAGCCGUAGAGUGUAAAAGCACAAGAGAGCUUGACUGUGAGAGAUACAUCUCGAGCAGGGACGAAAGUCGGCUUUAGUGAUCCGACGGCAGAGCGUGGAAUCGCCGUCGCUAAACGGAUAAAAGUUA
rnacentral:rRNA from 1 species